GGGGAUGUAGCUCAGUGGUGAGCGCACGCUUUGCAUGUGUGAGGCCCCGGGUUCAAUCCCCGGCAUCUCCA
rnacentral:tRNA from 1 species